GAUGAACGCUGGCGGCGUGCCUAAUACAUGCAAGUCGAGCGAACGGACGAGAAGCUUGCUUCUCUGAUGUUAGCGGCGGACGGGUGAGUAACACGUGGAUAACCUACCUAUAAGACUGGGAUAACUUCGGGAAACCGGAGCUAAUACCGGAUGAUAUUUUGAACCGCAUGGUUCAAAAGUGAAAGACGGUCUUGCUGUCACUUAUAGAUGGAUCCGCGCUGCAUUAGCUAGUUGGUAAGGUAACGGCUUACCAAGGCAACGAUGCAUAGCCGACCUGAGAGGGUGAUCGGCCACACUGGAACUGAGACACGGUCCAGACUCCUACGGGAGGCAGCAGUAGGGAAUCUUCCGCAAUGGCCGAAAGCCUGACGGAGCAACGCCGCGUGAGUGAUGAAGGUCUUCGGAUCGUAAAACUCUGUUAUUAGGGAAGAACAUAUGUGUAAGUAACUGUGCACAUCUUGACGGUACCUAAUCAGAAAGCCACGGCUAACUACGUG
rnacentral:rRNA from 1 species